rnacentral:lncRNA from 1 species
AAAAUAUAUCAUCAGACCAUCUCUAAGCUGGUUGGGUUCCUUGCGGGAAAACGUGUCGGGUAGUGUAAUCGAGAUUGCCACUCCAAAUGGAGCCAGGAGGCCAUUACGGCCUGUUAUCGCACAAAUCCCAUAAUUCCAUUUUUGUUUUAAUUUCCGCUAUUAGACGUAAAUUGAGUUUCCAUUGCAAAUACAUUUCCAUAAUUGUGUGCUUGUGUGUGUUAGUGUGUGUGUGGCCGUGCUUCCUCUCUAUCCAGGCUUGCAGCUUCGGUAUGAGGGAAUAAGUCCAACGCCCUUUAGGUGAACUGUCCCACUGGGUCUGCCAUCUGCUGAUGCUGUUCGUCCUUGCGGUAGCCUUCAGCUCGGCUCUUGUCGCCUCGCUUCCGCCCUGCGCGGCUGCAUCGAUCUCUGAUCUCUCUCUUAUUAGCUCCCUGAGUGGGACUUGCCCCGCGAUGACCAGCGCUGCUUCGUCC